AUUCUUCUUGUACAUCCACUAAAUGGACCUUUCUUACAAAAAAAGUUUUCAAGAUAUCUUUCACCUGAACUGCGCUAAAAUUCUACGAGUUUCAUAAUUUUCGUGGGGCGCAUUUUAAUACCCACUGGACGACAAUGGGUUAAUCGUUUGUUUCCAAUAUCAGUAGCCAUAUUCUUUGAUUUUGAUAUUCGGUUUGAUAUUACUAGCUAAAUAGGACAAUCACUACUGAAAAUAUUUGUUUCUACAAGAUUGGUUAAUUUAAAGGACCCUAAUUUAUUGGAUUGCUUAUAAAUCAGUGCAAUAAAUGAUUAAAAAAUAAACACCACUGCUGGAAAAUUAAAACUACAGUGAAACAGUGAAAAUCGGUUUGAAAUUUGAAUUGAUGUUUUGGAAAUGAGCGCUCGCUGGUGUUUCUUUUAUUUAAAUUAUAUUUAUUUAAUCACACUUAACAUAGCAAACACAAAUGAUGUUAUUUCGUUUCAUUUAUGCAUUUAAAGUUUUACAACUGUUUUUAUGUUUCGUUUAUCAGCUAGUUUUGAAAAGUUGCUUUUAUAUAGGCCAAUUAUUGAAAUGUAUUGUGAAAACUGAAAAGUUAAAGUAAUUAAUUCUGCACUUGAUUUCAGAUGGGUAUUGGGAGGGGGAGGGCUAAAAUAUCGGCAAUAAACUAGUGCCAGGCCGAGCUGCAGUGCUGGGGAAAUUAUUUUCUGAUUUUUUGAACAUUCAAUCGAAGAAUUUGUUGUUCUUGUUUUUCGAAAAAUUACAACUAUGUAUUUAUGUUGCGAAAAAUUAAUAAUAUUAAUAUUUUUAAUAUUAGCAUAUAUGUAUAUUUUUAUAAAUUAUAGUUCUACAGCUUAAACUGAAUUUUGGAGUGUUUAGUUUUUCUUCUUUUCUUAUCCGUUUUUUCAUGCAUCGACGAUGAUUGGAUCGUUUUAUGCGAUAUUUAUAUAUAUAUAUAAAACUUCAGUUUAAACCGCAGUUAACUACAGCCGGAUGUUGGUGUUGUUGUUUUUUUCUUGGUGUUGGUGAUUUGAAUUAUCAAUUUAUGCAUAUAUGACAAACUGCUAGUGGCUGUGGCUG
rnacentral:sRNA from 1 species